CCACGCCCCCUCUUUCGGAGAACGCGGUCGCUAUUGGACAACGGAGGUGUCCGUUUCGCUAGGAGGCGGGUGGGAGGCUUCUGGGCCGGCUCUUCCCGCGAUGCUGCUCUUGGGCGCCGUGCGGUGGUGCGGCCGCGGCCUGGGGGCUGCCGGGAAGGAGUGCUUCUGUCUCUCCAAGCAUCCCCAGGACAGCAGUGCUGCUAUGCCCUUGCUCCUGGACCAAUCCUGUCACAAGAGGUUAGUGACUGUGCAGAGGCUCCCUGUGAUGCUCAUCGACAGUGGACAGCGUCACAUCCACACGGAGGACAAGGAUAAUGUUUCCCAAAAUGCUGCUUCCCUGAUGGACAAAGGGCCUGACUCUCAGGAGAAGGCUGCUUCUCCAAAGCCUCAUUCUGAUGUACCUUCAAGCCUUUCUCCUCCUACAACUUGUUGCAUGAGCGGAUGCCACAACUGUGUGUGGAUCACAUAUGCAGAAGAGCUGCUGAAACAUUACCAGGAUGGUGGAGAGGAGGCAUUGGCAGCUGUGGAGAAACACAUAGAGGAUGAGAAUAUAAAAAUGUUCUUGAAGAUGGAAAUCAAAUUCCUCAUGAAGAAAGACUGAAGCUCUCAGGCCAUAAUAGAUGCACAAAGAAAGGAAAUUUUGAUCAUUUACAACAGGGAGAGGGAAUCUUGGAUCCUCCAGAUGUUACUCACUUCAGCUCUCCAAUCCAUGGCCAAUGGGAAAGGAUUAUGGAAGUCGCUUCUGACUCUUUGUGACCUCCUGGACUAGCCCACGCCAGAGCUGCCUUGGCCCAUGGCCACCCUCAACUCUUUCAAGGUCAAGCCAGUCACUUCAAGGAUACCAUCCACCCACCUUGCCCUUGGUUGGCCCCUCUUCUUUUUUUCCUUCCUUUUCCCCCAGUAUCAUUAUCUUCUCCAAGCUUUCCUGUCUUCUCGUUAUGUGUCCAAAGUACUUCAUUUUUGCCUCUAAUAUCCUUCCCUCCAGUGAGCAGUCAGGCAUUAUUCCCUGGAAUAUGGACUGGAGUAUGGACUGAAUACAACUAUGUAUUCUGUAGCAAAAAGGAUUAAGCUAUAAAAGCUUUGUGUUAAAUAAAUCCAUGGAUGAUUGUGUAGGAAGGAAACAUUUAAAAGGUACUUGUUUUUUGUUUGUUUCAUCUGGUACAGUGUACAAAGAUUUGUUGACCGAAUACUAAAAACAACAGUUGAAAAAACUGGCAAAUAGCUGUUUGAUAAAUCAAAGCAGUGUCUGAGUAGCUCAUCUCACAAUCUUCUAGGAUGCCUCAAGAAGUUCUGCCACUGGCCAUAAUCUCUCCUAUUGUUGUCUAGGAAGAUCACUGUAUUUUUUUUUGUUUUGUUUUUUAUGUGGCAGGAGUGACUUGAGAAACUGCAAGUAGCUUCUGGUGUGAGAGAAUUAGCCGUCUGCAAGGACGUUGCCCAGGGGACGCCCAGAUGUUUUGAUGUUUUUACCAUCCUUGUGGGAGGCUUCUCUCAUGUCCCCGCAUGGGGAGCUGGAGCUGACAGAGGGAGCACUCUGCGCUCUCCCCAGAUUCGAAAUGGAACCUUCAGGUUACUGUGCUGAUAUGCGAACAUCUUGGCCUUGCUAAAAUAAUUAAUACAGGUGAUGAUCUGAUCCAGGUCACUGAUCAUAUAAUAAAAACCUGCUGACCCAACUCAAGCCAUGGAUGAAAGAACAAAGCUUCCCAAUAAAUUUUUGUCCACCAGAUUUCAUGUUUUGUCAGUUUAUUCUAGAAUUUCUGGGGUUUUUUUUAGGUCACAAGCAGAGACUGAAAUACUCUUCCGUUUUUGACUAACAUGGCUACCCUUCUAGAAAUUGUGGAUUCAAGAGUAACCAAUCCUUCAAAUAAAAAUACAUAGGGUUUCAUAAGACACACAUGCAGAAGUAGCCCUGUUAGUCUCUUGUAGCGUAAAAAGGAAGAACGCCACUAUGUUUGCGUAUCACAACUGUAGAAAAGCACUAAUAAAGACUUCUUCUUUUUUUCUUUUUUUCUUUAAAAAAGGAAGACAUGUAGCAGCAUGUCUAGCUGGUUUAUAUUUCAGCAUGAGCUUUCAUGGAUACAAUAAACACACUUCUUCAGGUGCAAUCUGUAUUGUAUACUACAUUUAAAGAGGUGGCUUUAUACUCAUGAAAGCUCAUACUAAAAGAAAAAAAAAAACCAGUUAGUCUUAAAGUUGUUGUUAUCUUACUUUUUCACUUCUCCUUUCCAUCCUCCUGUUUGGAAAAUGAUAUGGCAAUUUGAAACUAAAGCUUUUUCUUGUUUCUAGAAAGAACAGAGGCCGAUAUUUAGCCAAUUGCAAUAAUAUUGAAAUGUUAUCCCUGUGUUUGUAUCCCAAAGCCCUUCCCUUAUCCUGGAUACAUAGAUAAUAAACAAUGUAGGUAUCAUUGAAAAUGACACAGGAUUAAAAACAAGUGACAUAAUCCUAUUAUGAAAAGCACAAUAAAUCUAGCAACCCCUUUCAAGCCUCCAGAGCUCUGGCAAGCAAGAGGCACUGGUCACUUUUAAGAGGUACUGCUGUAUUAC